rnacentral:rRNA from 1 species
AUUGAACGCUGGCGGCAUGCUUUACACAUGCAAGUCGAACGGUAACAGGGUGCUUGCACCGCUGACGAGUGGCGAACGGGUGAGUAAUGCGUCGGAACGCACCGAGUAAUGGGGGAUAACGCAGCGAAAGCUGUGCUAAUACCGCAUACGCUCUGAGGUAGAAAGUGGGGGACCUUCGGGCCUCACGCUAUUCGAGCGGCCGACGUCUGAUUAGCUAGUUGGUGAGGUAAAGGCUCACCAAGGCGACGAUCGGUAGCGGGUCUGAGAGGAUGAUCCGCCACACUGGGACUGAGACACGGCCCAGACUCCUACGGGAGGCGGCAGUGGGGAAUUUUGGACAAUGGGCGCAAGCCUGAUCCAGCCAUGCCGCGUGCCUGAAGAAGGCCUUCGGGUUGUAAAGGACUUUUGUCCGGGAGCAAAUGCCUGGUGUUAAUAGCACUGGGAGCUGAGAGUACCGGAAGAAUAAGCACCGGCUAACUACGUGCCAGCCGCCGCAGUAACAC